AGGAAAUAAGAGAAGCCACCCAUGCUCUUCUCUCUGUGGGGGCCCGGUGUUCAGUGGCUGCAAACCACAGCCUUCUUGGCAGUGUACACAACCUGGCGCCUGUAUGGGUUGUCCCAAGAGACCUUGGAGACAGCC
ensembl:snoRNA SNORA70 Small nucleolar RNA SNORA70